GAUGAACGCUAGCGGCAGGCCUAACACAUGCAAGUCGAGGGGCAUCACGGAUUGCUUGCAAUCUGGUGGCGACCGGCGCACGGGUGCGUAACGCGUAUACAACCUACCUUUUGGAGGGGAAUAGCCCAGAGAAAUUUGGAUUAAUACCCCAUAGUAUAUAGGAAUCUCCUAAUUUUUAUAUUAAACAUUUAUGGCCAUUAGAUGGGUAUGCGUCCUAUUAGCUAGUUGGUGUGGUAACGGCACACCAAGGCUACGAUAGGUAGGGGUCCUGAGAGGGAGAUCCCCACACUGGUACUGAGACACGGACCAGACUCCUACGGGAGGCAGCAGUGAGGAAUAUUGGACAAUGGGCGAGAGCCUGAUCCAGCCAUGCCGCGUGCAGGAAGACUGCCCUAUGGGUUGUAAACUGCUUUUACAGAGGAAGAACCACCCCCACGUGUGGGGGUUUGACGGUACUCUGCGAAUAAGGAUCGGCUAACUCCGUG
rnacentral:rRNA from 1 species